rfam:Brachypodium distachyon strain Bd21 chromosome 4, whole genome shotgun sequence.
AUGGUACUCCCUCCGUCUAACAAAAGAUGUCUCAAUUUUGAUCAAAUUUGAAUGCAUCUAUACACUAAGUCAUGUCUAGAUACGUUCAAAUUUUGACACACUUGAACUUUUGUGGGACGGAGGGAGUAUCAG